UGCCCAGCAACUCCUAUUCCUACGUCUUCGUAGUACUGGCCGGGGUACGAGUAACCUUGGGGAAGAUCGGGUAACCAACCCCCGGUUGGAACAUUGGUCAUAUGCUGACAGGGAAGG
rfam:Aedes aegypti strain Liverpool supercont1.39 genomic scaffold, whole genome shotgun sequence.